AACGAACGCUGGCGGCAUGCCUAACACAUGCAAGUCGAACGAGACCUUCGGGUCUAGUGGCGCACGGGUGCGUCACGCGUGGGAACCUGCCCUUAGGUUCGGAAUAACUCCCCGAAAGGGGUGCUAAUACCGGAUAAUGUCUUCGGACCAAUGAUUUAUCGCCUUUGGAUGGGCCCGCGUUGGAUUAGCUAGUUGGUAGGGUAAAAGCCUACCAAGGCGACGAUCCAUAGCUGGUCUGAGAGGAUGAUCAGCCACACUGGGACUGAGACACGGCCCAGACUCCUACGGGAGGCAGCAGUGGGGAAUAUUGGAAAAUGGGCGAAAGCCUGAUCCAGCAAUGCCGCGUGAGUGAUGAAGGCCGUAGGGUUGUAAAGCUCUUUUACCCGGGAUGAUAAUGACAGUACCGGGAGAAUAAGCUCCGGCUAACUCCGUG
rnacentral:rRNA from 1 species